CUUUAGGUGGGUUAAAAUAUAUUGUAUAAUUACUGCUAAACUGGACUUUUCACCGUUGUCCAUGGCAACGUGGGCUGCGGCACCAGGGCAAUUUUACGUCUACCCGUAAGCCGCGGUCUUUCAGGGUAAAUCGGUAUAGCUCAUUGGCGCCAUCUUCCGAUUCAAAAUAGUUAAUACAACCACUGUCUAUGGGGGUUUCUGAGCUACUUUCGGAGUCAUUUUAUAAAAAUGCACAUUAUAUGCACGAGCUUAAUUUUUAUAUAUAUAAAAAUAGGCCUAUAUUUCUCAGAUAUAUUUGAACAUAGUUACAGUUUUGAGAUCUUAAAAUAAAAGUACCCCCAUCUACAUCAAGGAAAAUGUCCCAGUUUGGCCCAGGACUCGUUAGUCAUCACAGCGGUGUGCGGCACACGGGGGUAGGCUAUAUUGGGUCCACUUUGUUCUCAGGCUGCACGCCUCGGUGGCUCGUAACGUGAGACACGGGGGAAACAACAGGGAAUAUAUUUCAUCCACACCGACUUUUUUAGCUAUGCGCUGAUGUUUUUCAUCCCCAGUUGACGGACCGCUGUAAUGAUGCAUUCUUCUCCGCGAUUAAUUUAAUGACGCUCUAAUCAUGUAACAUCAGACUGCCCAUUGUGGCCCAUGGCACACGCACACCACGGGAGAAGUUUGCCCACAAUUUCUGUCGCACGGAUGGCUGUGUGGAUUGUACCUGCUCAUAGUGCUCCCUUUGUGCCGCGGUGCAUGCUGGGUGCCGUGCAGCCCCUGUUCACGGAGGGACACGGAGAGUGAAUGCUCGCAGCGCCAGACCCGCUCAGGUCGGGUUUCUCCGGGAUCGCACUACGUUUGCGGGCUGAUUUGUCUGCCCGAGGUAUUGUUCUGUAUCGCUGCAUCGGAGCCAUAAGAGAGCGGGCCAUGAGGACUUUUCCCCAAAACAGAAGCUGCGCAGUUUACAGCGUCUCUGGUUUAGGAGCCUGCGCCCCCGCCGGUGCACCUGCACAGGAGGACUUUGUGACGAAACCCACCCAGGCGUCAAGUCCAUCUAGCAGCGAGUCUGACAUCAAGAGCCCCGUGGGCAAGAGAGCGGAUUGUGGGGCAUGGAGUAAGUGGGCGCUGAGAGCCUCCCCCCUCCUCCCUCUCUCGGCUGCCAUUGCACUGACUCUCCAUUUCCUUGCAUCCUCUCCAUCGCUCUCAGUGUUUUACCUUGGAGGAAGCAUCGAGUUCUCCAACCUCAGCUUCUCUCCAGACCUGGCAGACCCGUCGUCUACACAGUUCCACCUCCAGUCUCAGGCUCUAAGCCAUUACGUAAGCAUAAACAUACAUAACAGUCUCUCUGUGCUGCCCUCUGCAACAAAGCCGGUUUCUCCGUGAUCUCUCCGGAAUGCGGCCGCUCUCCAGAGACCACUCAAGGAACGAUGCUCGGCCCUGGCACUUUGUAACGUAAAGUCCACCAGAGCUGCAGGUCCAGUGGUGUGCUCGUCCCUCAUUGUCACCCUUUUAAAUGUAAAGCAGGCUAUGCUGAGUCUUCAGCCGCUCCGUGGCCCUCUUAAACGUAAAGCCAGCUGUAACCGGAGCCCGGCUCGGUGUGAGGUGGUGCGGUCAGACCGACUCCCAGAGGACUGCGGCUUUUCAGGGCCGAGGACAAGAACAGUGUUUGUGAGAGGGACAGGGCCCAGGCAGGCUGAGUGAGAGGAAGAGCAGUCCUUCAAUAAAAACAUUGUCUGUGAGCUUCCUCA
ensembl:lncRNA